rnacentral:rRNA from 1 species
AGAGUUUGAUCCUGGCUCAGGACGAACGCUGGCGGCGCGCCUAACACAUGCAAGUCGAACGAGCGAGAGAGAGCUUGCUUUCUCGAGCGAGUGGCGAACGGGUGAGUAACGCGUGAGGAACCUGCCUCAAAGAGGGGGACAACAGUUGGAAACGACUGCUAAUACCGCAUAAGCCCACGGCUCGGCAUCGAGCAGAGGGAAAAGGAGCAAUCCGCUUUGAGAUGGCCUCGCGUCCGAUUAGCUAGUUGGUGAGGUAACGGCCCACCAAGGCGACGAUCGGUAGCCGGACUGAGAGGUUGAACGGCCACAUUGGGACUGAGACACGGCCCAGACUCCUACGGGAGGCAGCAGUGGGGAAUAUUGCACAAUGGGGGAAACCCUGAUGCAGCGACGCCGCGUGGAGGAAGAAGGUCUUCGGAUUGUAAACUCCUGUUGUUGAGGAAGAUAAUGACGGUACUCAACAAGGAAGUGACGGCUAACUACGUGCCAGCAGCCGCGGUAAAACGUAGGUCACAAGCGUUGUCCGGAAUUACUGGGUGUAAAGGGAGCGCAGGCGGGAAGACAAGUUGGAAGUGAAAUCCAUGGGCUCAACCCAUGAACUGCUUUCAAAACUGUUUUUCUUGAGUAGUGCAGAGGUAGGCGGAAUUCCCGGUGUAGCGGUGGAAUGCGUAGAUAUCGGGAGGAACACCAGUGGCGAAGGCGGCCUACUGGGCACCAACUGACGCUGAGGCUCGAAAGUGUGGGUAGCAAACAGGAUUAGAUACCCUGGUAGUCCACACCGUAAACGAUGAUUACUAGGUGUUGGAGGAUUGACCCCUUCAGUGCCGCAGUUAACACAAUAAGUAAUCCACCUGGGGAGUACGACCGCAAGGUUGAAACUCAAAGGAAUUGACGGGGGCCCGCACAAGCAGUGGAGUAUGUGGUUUAAUUCGACGCAACGCGAAGAACCUUACCAAGUCUUGACAUCCUGCGACGGUGCUGGAAACAGUACUUUCCUUCGGGACGCAGAGACAGGUGGUGCAUGGUUGUCGUCAGCUCGUGUCGUGAGAUGUUGGGUUAAGU